rnacentral:rRNA from 1 species
UACGUAGGGCGCAAGCGUUAUCCGGAAUUAUUGGGCGUAAAGAGCUCGUAGGCGGUUUGUCGCGUCUGCCGUGAAAGUCCGGGGCUCAACUCCGGAUCUGCGGUGGGUACGGGCAGACUAGAGUGAUGUAGGGGAGAUUGGAAUUCCUGGUGUAGCGGUGAAAUGCGCAGAUAUCAGGAGGAACACCGGUGGCGAAGGCGGGUCUCUGGGCCGUAACUGACGCUGAGGAGCGAAAGCAUGGGGAGCGAACAGG